rnacentral:rRNA from 1 species
GGUGAGUAACGCGUGGGAACGUGCCCUGAGGUACGGAAUAACUGCGGGAAACUGCAGCUAAUACCGUAUGAGCCCCGUGAGGGGAAGAUUAUCGCCUUAGGAGCGGCCCGCGUCGGAUUAGCUAGUUGGUGGGGUAACGGCUUACCAAGGCUUCGAUCCGUAGCUGGUCUGAGAGGACGAUCAGCCACACUGGGACUGAGACACGGCCCAGACUCCUACGGGAGGCAGCAGUGGGGAAUCUUGCGCAAUGGGGGCAACCCUGACGCAGCCAUGCCGCGUGAAUGAUGAAGGCCUUAGGGUUGUAAAGUUCUUUUGCCCGUGACGAUGAUGACGGUAACGGGAGAAUAAGCUCCGGCUAACUUCGUG